GAGUUACUCCAACCCCUGUGACAUACCACUUGUUGCCUCGGCGGAUCAGCCCGCUCCCGGUAAAACGGGACGGCCCGCCAGAGGACCCCUAAACUCUGUUUCUAUAUGUAACUUCUGAGUAAAACCAUAAAUAAAUCAAAACUUUCAACAACGGAUCUCUUGGUUCUGGCAUCGAUGAAGAACGCAGCAAAAUGCGAUAAGUAAUGUGAAUUGCAGAAUUCAGUGAAUCAUCGAAUCUUUGAACGCACAUUGCGCCCGCCAGUAUUCUGGCGGGCAUGCCUGUUCGAGCGUCAUUUCAACCCUCAAGCACAGCUUGGUGUUGGGACUCGCGUUAAUUCGCGUUCCCCAAAUUGAUUGGCGGUCACGUCGAGCUUCCAUAGCGUAGUAGUAAAACCCUCGUUACUGGUAAUCGUCGCGGCCACGCCGUUAAACCCCAACUUCUGAAUGUUGACCUCGGAUCAGGUAGGAAUACCCGCUGAACUUAAGCAUAUCAAUAAGCGGAGGAA
rnacentral:rRNA from 1 species